rnacentral:tRNA from 1 species
UCUCUGGUGGUUCAGUCACUAGGACUCAACACUUUCGCUGUAGUGGCCCAGGUUCAAUCCCUGGUUGGGGAA